AUUGAACGCUGGCGGCAGGCCUAACACAUGCAAGUCGAGCGGGGUUUUCGGACCUAGCGGCGGACGGGUGAGUAAUGCGUAGGAAGCUGCCCGAUAGAGGGGGAUACCAGUUGGAAACGACUGUUAAUACCGCAUAAUGUCUACGGACCAAAGUGUGGGACCUUCGGGCCACAUGCUAUCGGAUGCGCCUACGUGGGAUUAGCUAGUUGGUGAGGUAAUGGCUCACCAAGGCGACGAUCUCUAGCUGGUUUGAGAGGAUGAUCAGCCACACUGGAACUGAGACACGGUCCAGACUCCUACGGGAGGCAGCAGUGGGGAAUAUUGGACAAUGGGCGCAAGCCUGAUCCAGCCGUGCCGCGUGUGUGAAGAAGGCCUUCGGAUUGUAAAGCACUUUCAGCGAGGAGGAAGGGGUGUGUGUUAAUAGUACACACCUUUGACGUUACUCGCAGAAGAAGCACCGGCUAACUCUGUGCCAGCAGCCGCCGUAAAAC
rnacentral:rRNA from 1 species